rnacentral:lncRNA from 1 species
GAAAAAAAAUGAUUUAUAGCGUCGAAAAAUUAAAAACAAAUGUUCACGCUUUGCUCGAAAAAAAUAUUUGACUAAGAAGAAUAAUUUAAAAAAAAAAAUAGGGACACAUCCGUCAACAUUGUGGAUUAGGGUAUUAAAACAAAAAACAAAAAGACAUAUUAACAAAGAACAUCAGAAAGAACGUUAGGCAAGAAUAUACAAAUUGUUUUCAACAGCAUAAUAAAUAAUUCUUCAGUUUGAAAAAAAACGAACAAGUACAAAAAAAUAGGGACACAGCCGUCAACAUUGUGGAUUAGGGAAUUUAAACAAAAAACAAAAAGACAUAUGAACAAAGAACAUAAAAAAGAACGAAAGGCAAGAAUAUACAAUUUUUUUCAACAG